rnacentral:precursor_RNA from 1 species
GGGUUCACUGGUCGUGCUUCCUGCGGGCUGAGCGCGGGCUGAGCGCUGCCAGUCAGCGCUCACAUUAAGGCUGACAGCGCCCUGCCUGGCUCGGCCGGCGAAGCUCUAAUUGCCCUGAAGGAG